rnacentral:misc_RNA from 1 species
UCAAAACAUCCUUACAUUUUGCACAUCAAAGAUUUAUUCAAAGUUUCUAUCUAUCUAUAUACAAUUACAGAAGUGAAUGAAUUACAUAAAUACUAAUGUGAAAAAGGGAAGUUAAAGCACCUCUUCAACUGCUUUCUCUUCGCGAAUUCAAUAGGAAGUUGAAUGACAUAAAGAAAAAAUAAUAACAAGUGAGCAACACUGUAGAACAAGCAUAAUGGAUCAUGAAUUUCGCGCAGAAUCUUCAAGCAUCAUUCCUUUCAUACUCUUGGCUAACCAGAUAGCUGUCUCCCUCGGUGAGACCUUGUUCUUGCCGAAUGGUUUAAGAACAACAGCAAGCUCUUCUAAUCUGUCUUGUUCCAGCAAGUCAGCAGAUAGUUCGAGUAGACCUUCAAGUGCAUCUGCUCUCUGUCUAAAAGACUUGACAUCUAACAUUUCCUUCAUUGGCCUUUCCUCCUCUGCAACUGGUUCUGGAGAAUCUAAUCGUUGUGCUGAAAUAGGAAUGCUGUGGUUUCUUACAUCAAUCUCCUUAUUAUGGACACCAUCAGGGAUAUUGGAAUUAAGAAUCACUGAUCCAGCAGAAGUAGAAGCAUUUGGAGCCCCAACAGCAUCUCGACUGUUAUUAUCAACUUCAUCUCUAACCACACUUAUUGGUUGCCCAACAUCAACAUUUCUAUCCACCGAGUCCAUCACUGAUUGCUCACUACCCACUCGGAAACUACUGUGCCGAAUGACAUGUAUGACAUCAUCAGAAGCUGGUGUAAGCUGAGAAGCAGCUGUUUUUUCAAGAACCAUAGUUUUCGGAGCAAUUCCCUUCUCUGACAACAAAUUAUUUAGAGCAGGUGAAAAAGGAGGGAGUGAAGGAG